UCCCGUAUAGCUUAAUUGGCAGAGCGUCCGGUUGUUACCCGGAUGGUCCAGGUUCGAUUCCUGGUGCGGGAGC
rnacentral:tRNA from 4 species